rnacentral:rRNA from 1 species
AGAAUCAACGCUGGCGGCGUGCCUAACACAUGCAAGUCGAUCGAGAAAGUGGAGCAAUCCAUGAGUAAAGAGGCGCACGGGUGAGUAACACGUGACUAACCUACCUUCGAGUGGGGAAUAACCUGGGGAAACCCGGGCUAAUACCGCAUAAUACCUACGGGUCAAAGGAGCAAUUCGCUUGAAGAGGGGGUCGCGGCAGAUUAGUUAGUUGGCGGGGUAAUGGCCCACCAAGACGAUGAUCUGUAUCCGGCCUGAGAGGGCGCACGGACACACUGGAACUGAAACACGGUCACCCCCCGAUCCUACGGGAGGCAGCAGUGGGGAAUUUUGCGCAAUGGGGGAAACCCUGACGCAGCAACGCCGCGUGGAGGAUGAAGUCCCUUGGGACGUAAACUCCUUUCGACCGGGACGAUUAUGACGGUACCGGAUGAAGAAGCCCCGGCUAACUUCGUGCCAGCAGCCGC